rnacentral:rRNA from 1 species
CGAGAAGACCCUAUGGAGCUUCAGACACCAAAACAGACCAUGUUAAAGACCCUAAAACAAAAGGCUAAACUUAAUGCCUCCUGCCUUGAUGUCUUCGGUUGGGGCGACCAAGG